rnacentral:rRNA from 1 species
CAAUAGCGUAUAUUAAAGCUGUUGCGGUUAAAAAGCUCGUAGUUGGAUUUCUGUCAAGUACAACUGGUCCGCCCUCCGGGUGAGCACAUAGUUUGGUCUUGGCAUCUUGCUGGAAAUUGUUGCUGCACUUGGCUGUGUGGCGCAGUGUCCAGCACUUUCACUUUGAGGAAAUUGGAGUGUUUCAAGCAGGCAAUGCCUUUGAACACAGUAGCAUGGAAUAAUUAGAUUGGGCUUUUGCUCCAAUUUGUUGGUUUCUGGAGCUGAGGUGAGAAUUAAUGGGGAUUGUUGGGGGCAUCCGAAUUUAGCCGUCAGAGGUGAAAUUCUUGGAUCGGCUAAAGACGGACAACUGCGAAAGCGUUUGCCCAGGAUGUUUUCAUUGA